ACCUGUAAGUUGUCAACCUUCUGUCAAGAAACAGGAAAGAAUCCUCUGCAGAGAAGUUGAAUCAGUGAUUGGUAUAAAUGUAGGAAAUUUAGGUGCUCCUUAAAUCAAUUAGUAGGAAAACCUGGAAGAGGGAAAAAAGAAGAAUCAAGGGGUAAAGGACUUGGAAGAAAAAAAAAGAGGAAGAGUAUCAUAAUGAAACUGUGAGAGGACUGGUGCUUUGGUCAGGAAUUGAUACUAUAAUGGUUUUUGUAAAGUAAAUAAGGAAAAUUGCAACUAUUGAUAAUGGUGCAGAAGUGGUGGGCAUUUUGUGGAUCUGUC